GCUUAAGGCCAUACCAGUCUGAAAGUGCCUGAUCUCGUCAGAUCUCAGAAGUCAUGCAGACUUGGGCCUGCUUAGUACUUGUAUGGGAGACCAACUAGGAACCUCAGGUGCCGUACGCU
rnacentral:rRNA from 1 species